UUUUGAGAUUUGAAUCCCGGAAAUGUCAUUUCCUGCAUUCUGAGCAUCCAAAUUUGCUCCAGAAUUUAUGCUAACUAUACUUGUAUUUGAAAUAAAUAAAGGGAAAAAUGCACAAGUAAAAAAAAAUUAACCAUCAUUUAUCAUUACUUAUUAGAGGAGGAUAGUUAGCAAUGGUCGCGUGUGUGGGGGUGUACUCCUUCAGAAAAUUUUUGAAAUUUGAAGCACGGAAAUGCCAUUUCCUGCAUUCUGAGCAUCCAAAUUUGCUCUAAAAUUUGUGCUAACUAUACUUGUAUUUGAAAUACUGAAAAGAAGGAAAAAAUGCACAAAAAGUAAAAAAGAAUAUUAACCGUAAUUUAUCUAUUAGAGGGAUAAUCCUUAGAGGGAUAUUACUUAUUAGAGGGAUAAUCCCCAGAAAAUGUUUGAAAUUUGAAACCUGGAAAUGCUAUUUCCUGCAUUCUGAGCAUCCAAAAAAUAAUAAAAUUAUUAACAAUAAUUUAUCAUUACUUAGUGGUAGAAAAACGUAACAAUUUAAAUCGAUUUUGUUAAAUAAGGACAAAGGAUAAAGCCUAAAACUUACUCUCCAUUUAUCCAUUUAUCAAUCUUCGCUGGUUUGUUUGUAUAAUUUUAGGGAAAAGGGACUUUUCCUGGGGGGGG